ensembl:snRNA U1 U1 spliceosomal RNA
AUACUUACCCAGCAAGGGAGAUACCCUCAUGAUAAAGGUUGUUUCCCAGGGUGAGGCUCCUCUACAGUAUGCUGGGUAUGCUGACUCCUGUAAUUUCCCCGAUGUAGAAACUUGUGGUAGUGGAGGAUUGUGUUUCUGCAACCCAUAG